rnacentral:rRNA from 1 species
AUUGAACGCUGGCGGCAGGCCUAACACAUGCAAGUCGAGCGGAGCGGCGGACGGGUGAGUAAUGCCAAGGAAUAUGCCUGGUCGUGAGGGAUAACGUCCGGUAACGGGAGCUAAUACUACAUACUAUUAGAUGAGCCUAGGUCGGAUGAGCUAGUUGGUGGGGUAAAGGCCUACCAAGGCGACGAUCCGUAGCUGGUAUGAGAGGAUGAUCAGUCACACUGGAACUGAGACACGGUCCAGACUCCUACGGGAGGCAGCAGUGGGGAAUAUUGGACAAUGGGCGAAAGCCUGAUCCAGCCAUGCCGCGUGUGUGAAGAAGGUCUUCGGAUUGUAAAGCACUUUAAGUUGGGAGGCGUUACCAACAGAAUAAGCACCGGCUAACUUCGUGCCAGCAGCCGCGGUAAUUC